rnacentral:rRNA from 1 species
UACGGAGGGUGCAAGCGUUAUCCGGAUUUACUGGGCGUAAAGGGCGCGUAGGCGGUUCGUUAAGUCCUGUGUGAAAUCCCCCGGCUCAACUGGGGAACUGCACAGGAAACUAGCGGGCUUGAGUUCGGGAGAGGGAAGCGGAAUUCCGGGUGUAGCGGUGAAAUGCGUAGAUAUCCGGAGGAACACCGGUGGCGAAGGCGGCUUCCUGGACCGACACUGACGCUGAGGCGCGAAAGCUAGGGGAGCAAACGGG